GACGAACGCUGGCGGCGUGCCUAAUACAUGCAAGUCGAACGCUUCUUUCCUCCCGAGUGCUUGCACUCAAUUGGAAAGAGGAGGGGCGGACGGGUGAGUAACACGUGGGUAACCUACCCAUCAGAGGGGGAUAACACUUGGAAACAGGUGCUAAUACCGCAUAACAGUUUAUGCCGCAUGGCAUAAGAGUGAAAGGCGCUCUCGGGGGUCGCUGCGGGAUGGACCCGCGGUGCAUUAGCUAGUUGGUGAGGUAACGGCUCACCAAGGCCACGAUGCAUAGCCGACCUGAGAGGGUGAUCGGCCACACUGGGACUGAGACACGGCCCAGACUCCUACGGGAGGCAGCAGUAGGGAAUCUUCGGCAAUGGACGAAAGUCUGACCGAGCAACGCCGCGUGAGUGAAGAAGGUUUUCGGAUCGUAAAACUCUGUUGUUAGGGAAGAACAAGGACGUUAGUAACUGAACGUCCCCUGACGGUAUCUAACCAGAAAGCCACGGCUAACUACGUG
rnacentral:rRNA from 1 species